rnacentral:lncRNA from 1 species
GUGGGUAUGCAACACAGGAACCCGACAUUUGCCCACUUACAAAACAUUCACUUGGGCUAGGACUGAAAGGAUCGCGGGGAAGCAAUUCGAUGCGCGAGGCACGGAGCCUGCCUACCCAAACGAUCGUGAUACGACUCAUGCACCACCACGUACAAUGAGCAACAAUUCCAAUCAGCGAACUACAACCCCCAACAAGCAUGUUAUGC